UGCGGGGGGGGCAAGCGUUGUUCGGAAUUACUGGGCGUAAAGGGCUCGUAGGCGGCCAACUAAGUCAUACGUGAAAUCCCUCGGCUUAACCGGGGAACUGCGUCUGAUACUGGAUGGCUUGAGAUUGGGAGAGGGAUGCGGAAUUCCAGGUGUAGCGGUGAAAUGCGUAGAUAUCUGGAGGAACACCGGUGGCGAAGGCGGCAUCCUGGACCAACACUGACGCUGAGGAGCGAAAGCCAGGGGAGCAAACGGG
rnacentral:rRNA from 1 species